ensembl:lncRNA
AUCAAGUCUCUGAUAGUUUCCUCUCCCUGCUCCUCUCUCUUUGUCUGUCUCUAGGUAAGGUGGAGAUGGCGGCUGGGAUCCAUGCUGUGUUCAGAGGCAUGCCUCUGAUGUGGACCCCAGGGUAUGUGGGCCGGGCCCUGGCCAUUAUGGAGAGAGUAGCUGCCACUCCUGGAGAUAGAAAACUAUCAAAGGAUGCCGCUGAUUACCUGGGGGGCCUGCUACAUGACCUCUCCUCUGCCUUGGACUCCAAGUCCUCUUCUGUUGAGGACGAGUUAGGAGGAGGGGAAGAAGGAAGAGGAGGAUGAAGAUGAAGACGACCAGGCAGAGAGAGAAAAACUACCGCUCUAUGCCAGCAGGUUCAAGGUAGAGACUGGGCAAAGAUCUAUCAGUCAAACAGGGAAAGAGUGUGUAUGGACAGUACAUGUAUGUUGUGUUAUGAUUACAGAUUUCUCAUUUUGAGAAGGUGAAUAAAUUGCUAUUAAGCACUCUUAGUCUAUAACAACAGUUACACUUAAUCACUCCUUUUCCCUAGACCCCAUUUCUAACCACCUCCUCUCCUCUGACCGUGUGUAGGAGCUGAGUGGGCAGCUCCAGUCUGGGGGGAAGGUGGACCCUAGUCCCCUACAGGUGCUGGUCUCCAGCCUGGUCCAGCAGGGCCUGGCCUCAGCAGAGGGCCCUGACAUGGAGCAGUACCAGAGGAAGGUACGGGAGUGGGAGGCAGAGAGGCAGCAGCUCAUCAGAAGAGAGAAGGAGAUGAGGGAGAGGGCUGAGGGAGAGGGCUGAGGAAGAGAGAGAGGCCCGUCAGGCAGCCAAGGCAGCCGCACAAUAGCGCUGAACACACAGCUGGAUGGUGUUCAUGGUGCAUUCCUUUCAGUGUAUACCACCACAAGGCAUCAAUAAUAUUACUGGUACUUUUUCAUAACCUGUGGGGUCUCUACAUCGUCUGCAGUGAAACAUACAUGAAAAGUGAGGGUCGUUUUUGAAAUAUAUAAUAUAAUCUGUUGUCUCCUGAAAUCAGUUUAUUUCAUGUAACCUUUUUGUUGGUGUCUUUUGUACAAAUGCCAUUCACAGUUUAGCAAUGUACCGUGAACAAGAUGUCAACUCCCCAUGAUAGAAGUUUGUCUGUAUUAAAUUAUCAUGAUCAACAAAUAAUUAUGAUUCUUGACUUGCUUUAUACUCAAAUAUGAACAAAUCAGAGAGCUUAGUUUGUAGUUACAUGCAUUGUUACACAUAAGACUCGUAACCUCUAUUUCAUCCUUAGCUUCGUUUUCUUGAGAUUUCUGAGUUUUCUUCGAAAAUAUGUUGUAUUUCCUGUUGUGGACAGCAACUUGAUGUUUUUGGUCUAGCUCCAGUCUCGUGAUUGUUAAGCCUGAUGGCCACUAUGACCUCAUGUAAGCAGAAAAGGAGGAAAGCGGGGGAAAUCAUUGCUUCACAUCCUCCCACUCCCUUUCCUCUCUUCUCUCAGAAUGAGGUGUUUGUGAGAGCACAUGUAGACCUUUGUGUGUGUGUGUGUGGGGGGGGGGGGAGGUUAUACAAUCCUAGGGGAGCUGAUGACUGAUCUAGGGAGAAAAAAGUUUGUUCUUUACACAGGCAUGAAUACAGUUGAAUUUCUUAGCCUUAUCCUGUCGGCCAUUGCCACAAAGAAAAACACACCGUCACAGAUCCAGAUCGUAAGUGAAUUGCUUGGCCCUUGUUUAGAAGUUGACAGGUCUUUAUGUGUCGUCUGGAAAUCGACAGUAUCAACAGUGGCAUAACAGUAAAGUAAGAAGACUAAAGUAUCUUAGUAAACUUUAAUAGACGUCAACUAACUGCAACAGGCUACUCAAAUACCACAGGCGUAAAUAUUUCAGGCUAGGCUAUCCCUGUUAUUUUUUGUUUGAGGGAGAUAAGUAAUCAAUGAGGAAAAAGAUGUGGCUCACAAUGUGUUCAUUCCACAUUAUGCUAUUGCCCAUUCAUGGCAUGGGCUUGGGAAACUGCCUGCUAUGCAGACUAAGAUGAAUAUAAGGCACAAAUACUUUGUCACAAACGAGCCAUUGUUGUCUUGAGGCUGUUGUUUUGAGGCUCCACAUUGACUCCCUGAGUUGGAAUGUCUCUAGUUAGAAUGAUCUUUAUUUGCUAAAAAGAGUUAUAUUCUACUAGAGUAGAAUUUGCCAUUUGUAAAUGGCCAUGUCUCGGAUCUGUUCAAUUUAUCAAAUCAAAUUUUAUUUGUCACAUGCAGAUGUUAAUGCGAGUGUAGCGAAAUGCUUGUGCUUCUAGUUCCGACAAUGCAGUAAUAACCAACAAGUAAUCUAGCUUCUGAGCCAGGUCAUCUUUAAGUUAAAUAGAAAAGUAGAAAGCACACUUGCUUUUAUUGAGAGCUAAGAGGAUCUGAAAGUGUGUACUAAAUAUUCUACUAGUUUAUCAAUGUAUCUUACAAAAAAAUACAAAUGUGCACUUUCUCAUAUAUGCGAAAUAGACGAC